AUUGAACGCUGGCGGCAGGCUUAACACAUGCAAGUCGAGCGGGGGAAGGUAGCUUGCUACCGGACCUAGCGGCGGACGGGUGAGUAAUGCUUAGGAAUCUGCCUAUUAGUGGGGGACAACAUCUCGAAAGGGAUGCUAAUACCGCAUACGUCCUACGGGAGAAAGCAGGGGAUCUUCGGACCUUGCGCUAAUAGAUGAGCCUAAGUCGGAUUAGCUAGUUGGUGGGGUAAAGGCCUACCAAGGCGACGAUCUGUAGCGGGUCUGAGAGGAUGAGCCGCCACACUGGGACUGGGACGCGGCCCAGACUCCUACGGGAGGUAGCAGUGGGGAAUAUUGGACAAUGGGGGGAACCCUGAUCCAGCCAUGCCGCGUGUGUGAAGAAGGCCUUAUGGUUGUAAAGCACUUUAAGCGAGGAGGAGGCUACUCUAGUUAAUACCUAGGGAUAGUGGACGUUACUCGCAGAAUAAGCACCGGCUAACUCUGUGCCAGCAGCCGCUGUAA
rnacentral:rRNA from 1 species